rnacentral:rRNA from 1 species
GGGCCCGCACAAGCGGUGGAGCAUGUGGUUUAAUUCGAUGAUACGCGAGGAACCUUACCAGGGCUUAAAUGUAGUGGGACAGGUCUAGAGAUAGACCCUUCUUCGGACUCAUUACAAGGUGCUGCAUGGUUGUCGUCAGCUCGUGCCGUGAGGUGUCAGGUUAAGUCCUAUAACGAGCGCAACCCCUAUCGUUAGUUGCCAGCGGGUAAUGCCGGGAACUCUAGCGAAACUGCCGGUGCAAACCGAGAGGAAGGUGGGGAUGACGUCAAAUCAUCACGGCCCUUACGUCCUGGGCUACACACGUGCUACAAUGGCCGGUACAGAGAGCAGCCACUACGCGAGUAGGAGCGAAUCUAUAAAACCGGUCUCAGUUCGGAUCGCAGUCUGCAACUCGACUGCGUGAAGCUGGAAUCGCUAG